CGCAUCUGUGCAUGCAGCAUAUCAAUAAGCGGAGGAAAAGAAACUAACAAGGAUUCCCCUAGUAACGGCGAGUGAAGCGGGAAGAGCUCAAAUUUGAAAUCUUAAAGGGUUUCCCUUUACGAAUUGUAGUUUAAAGAAGUGUUUUCUGUUGAGGUUUUGGUAAAAGUUCUUUGGAAUAGGACAUCAUAGAGGGUGAGAAUCCCGUAUUUGACCUUUACUUUCAACUUUGUGAUACACUUUCAAAGAGUCGGAUUGUUUGGGAAUGCAGUCCAAAAUGGGUGGUAAAUUUCAUCUAAAGCUAAAUAUUGGCGAGAGACCGAUAGCGAACAAGUACCGUGAGGGAAAGAUGAAAAGAACUUUGAAAAGAGAGUUAAACAGUACGUGAAAUUGUCAAAAGGGAAGCGUUUGACACCAGUGUUGUUUUUCUGGAAAUCAAUUAAAGAACUGUUUAUGCUAAGCUUGUUUAGACUUUAUCAGCUAACUGUUUAGUUUUGAGCUUUUCUUUAAUGCACUUUUCAGUUAACAAGUCAACAUCAAUUUCUUUUGCUGUAAAAAAGCUUGAGGAAGGUGGCUUGAGAUUCGUCCUUAAGUGUUUAUAGCCUCUUGCCUAUGCAGUCGGAGAGAUUGAGGUCUGCAGCGUAGAUCCUUCGGGGCUAAAUGCAUUUGUGCUAAGUUAUAGCAUUUUAUAGACAACUUGUUGACUAUGAUUUGUCUUGUAGCUUACUCGCUUAUGUUAUUUUACCUACGCUUAGGAUGUUGACUGAUAUGUAGUCGUA
rnacentral:rRNA from 1 species